rnacentral:rRNA from 1 species
AGAGUUUGAUCCUGGCUCAGAACGAACGCUGGCGGCGUGCCUAAUACAUGCAAGUCGAACGAGAAAGUGGAGCAAUCCAUGAGUAAAGUGGCAAACGGGUGAGUAAUACAUAGGUAACUUCCCUUUGAGAUUGGAAUAACCUUCCGAAAGGAGGGCUAAUACCGAGUAAGACCACAGUCACUCCGGUGACAGCGGUCAAAGGAUGGCCUCUACUUGUAAGCUAUCGCUUGAAGAUAGGCCUAUGCACCAUCAGCUAGUUGGUGAGGUAACGGCUCACCAAGGCUUUGACGGUUAGCUGAUCUGAGAGGUUGAUCAGCCACACUGGAACUGAGACACGGUCCAGACUCCUACGGGAGGCAGCAGUAGGGAAUAUUGCGCAAUGGGGGAAACCCUGACGCAGCGACGCCGCGUGGGCGAUGAAGGCUUUCGGGUCGUAAAGCCCUGUCGGGAGGGAAGAAAAACGGAAAGGUGAAUAUCCUUCCGCUUGACGGUACCUCCAAAGGAAGCACCGGCUAACUACGUGCCAGCAGCCGCGGUAAUACGUAGGGUGCUAGCGUUGUUCGGAAUCAUUGGGCGUAAAGCGCGUGUAGGUGGUCAAGCAAGUUGGAUGUGAAAUCCCUGGGCUCAACCGAGGAAGUGCAUCCAAAACUACUUGGCUAGAGGAUGGUAGAGGGAGGUGGAAUUCCUAGUGUAGAGGUGAAAUUCGUAGAUAUUAGGAGGAAUACCUGAGGCGAAGGCGGCCUCCUGGGCCAUUCCUGACACUGAGGCGCGAGAGCGUGGGUAGCAAACAGGAUUAGAUACCCUGGUAGUCCACGCUGUAAACGAUGGGUACUAGGUGUUGCGGGUAUUGACCCCCGCAGUGCCGAAGCUAACGCAUUAAGUACCCCGCCUGGGAAGUACGGCCGCAAGGUUAAAACUCAAAGGAAUUGACGGGGGCCCGCACAAGCGGUGGAGCAUGUGGUUCAAUUCGAUCCACGCGAAAAACCUUACCUGGAUUAGACAACGUCAGACAGCCCUAGAGAUAGGGUCUUCCCUUCGGGGACUGGCGGUACAGGUGCUGCAUGGCUGUCGUCAGCUCGUAUCGUGAGAUGUCGGGUUAAGUCCCUUAACGAGCGCAACCCUUGUCCUUAGUUGCCACCAUUCAGUUGGGCUACUCUAAGGAGACUGCCGGUGUUAAACCGGAGGAAGGUGGGGAUGACGUCAAGUCC